rnacentral:rRNA from 1 species
UACGGAGGGUGCGAGCGUUGUCCGGAUUCAUUGGGCGUAAAGGGUGCGUAGGUGGCGCCGUAAGUCGGGUGUGAAAUUUCGGAGCUUAACUCCGAAACUGCAUUCGAUACUGCGGUGCUUGAGGACUGGAGAGGAGACUGGAAUUCAUGGUGUAGCAGUGAAAUGCGUAGAGAUCAUGAGGAAGACCAGUGGCGAAGGCGGGUCUCUGGACAGUUCCUGACACUGAGGCACGAAGGCCAGGGGAGCAAACGGG